CUUGUUGAUCUCUUGGUCGAUUCUGGCAGCCGUCUUCUCCUCGUCAGUCAGACACCAGGGACAGCAGCCCCAGGUCAGGGACCGGGCCAUGGCGAACGACUCACCAGCCACCAGGAUACAGGUGUGGAGGUCCCAGGACACCUUGUGAGGGUCACUUCUGUCCUUCCAGCACCCGGUUCCAAGGAUCAGACUCAGGUGGUCAGACUUGGCCACAAGCUCCAUUACCCUACCUCUGAGCUACCUCGCAGUCUGACAUUUUUCCUUAAAAAUAUAAAUAAGUAAAUAAAAAAUAAUAAUAAA